AGAAGAGGGAGGAGAAAAGGAGGUCCAACCCAUGUGUCAUAAAAUUUAUGGCAAAUUACUUUUGAGAACAGAUUCCGCAAUCCUCCACUAUAGGUACAACUAGUGCCACUACCAUUGCACUUCUUGCAUUCAUUCCAAAACUUUGAACAAUUGAUUGUAUUGUAUUUUUUGUGAGGAAAUUGGAAUAGAUAUGUAAUACCGAAAAUUUGCACUUUAUAUUCUAGUAUCAAUGUACAUCUUUCUUCUUUGUAAUAACAAUCUAGUUUUUGUUUUUGCUAUGAGAAGAUAUGAUGAUUCUACCUUGGCACAUUUGUAAGAAGCUUGGAUGUGUUGUUUCCUCUAAGACAUGUACACAUGAAGACAUAUACCUUGUUGUUUCUUUUUGAAUAAAUAUUCUAGGUGAACUAGUUAGGAUUGAACUCCUCCAAAGAUUACUAAAACAUGUCAAUGUAGAUCUUCACAUUGAGAUUAAGCUUGAUGCAACAACAACUAGAUUACAAGUAGAACGACCUUGACAAUGGGGAGAAAAAACCUUUUUUGUGCCUUCUUAUGGAAGAAUAUGGAUACAAACUAAUAAUUUGUACUUUUAUGUUUUAUUAGUAUUUUUCCUUUUUAGGAGCAAUAGGGAUUUCAUUUUG
rnacentral:lncRNA from 1 species